UACGAAGGGGGCUAGCGUUGUUCGGAAUUACUGGGCGUAAAGCGCACGUAGGCGGAUCGAUCAGUCAGGGGUGAAAUCCCAGGGCUCAACCCUGGAACUGCCUUUGAUACUGUCGAUCUGGAGUAUGGAAGAGGUGAGUGGAAUUCCGAGUGUAGAGGUGAAAUUCGUAGAUAUUCGGAGGAACACCAGUGGCGAAGGCGGCUCACUGGUCCGGUACUGACGCUGAGGUGCGAAAGCGUGGGGAGCAAACAGG
rnacentral:rRNA from 1 species